UUCUCUUUAGCCUAGUGGUAGGAUGUUUGCCUUGAGAGCAAAAGGUUGCUUGUUCGAAACCGGCACGGGGAA